UUCGCGUGUCAACACUCUAUUGACUAAUUUUUUCAAAAAUAAACUUCAUGUUAAGCGAUUCUUUUUUUUUUUCUAAAGAUGCAGCAAUCCAAUCACAAUCAGCUCGCUUUGCUGCUUCGCUUUGAUUUACUUUUCCGUAGAGAAGAUAAUUAGAUACCCCAAUUAAUCUACCAACCACCACCAAUAUUGCUAAGAAAUUAAGGCAUGUGCCAUCAAUUAAGGAGGACAUGCAUUAUUAUUAUUUGACUUAUAAU
rnacentral:lncRNA from 1 species